AAUUAAAAUUUUAAUCUAUUUUUACUGUUAAAAACUAACAUGGCUGACAAAAUAACCAAACAGUUAUACGUGGCGUAUCACGUGUACCUCAUGCUAACAUACAUGCCAUACAUAGACUAAUUUUUAAUAGCAUAAAUGGAUGAAACUUUUAGUA
rfam:Gossypium raimondii Chr01_contig_1295, whole genome shotgun sequence.